rnacentral:rRNA from 1 species
CUACGUGCCAGCAGCCGCGGUAAUACGUAGGGUGCGAGCGUUAAUCGGAAUUACUGGGCGUAAAGCGAGCGCAGACGGUUACUUAAGCAGGAUGUGAAAUCCCCGGGCUCAACCUGGGAACUGCGUUCUGAACUGGGUGACUAGAGUGUGUCAGAGGGAGGUAGAAUUCCACGUGUAGCAGUGAAAUGCGUAGAGAUGUGGAGGAAUACCGAUGGCGAAGGCAGCCUCCUGGGAUAACACUGACGUUCAUGCUCGAAAGCGUGGGUAGCAAACAGGAUUAGAUACCCUGGUAGUCCACGCCCUAAACGAUGUCAAUUAGCUGUUGGGCAACUUGAUUGCUUAGUAGCGUAGCUAACGCGUGAAAUUGACCGCCUGGGGAGUACGGUCGCAAGAUUAAAACUCAAAGGAAUUGACGGGGACCCGCACAAGCGGUGGAUGAUGUGGAUUAAUUCGAUGCAACGCGAAGA